rnacentral:rRNA from 1 species
UAGGGAAUCUUCCGCAAUGGACGAAAGUCUGACGGAGCAACGCCGCGUGAGCGAAGAAGGCCUUCGGGUCGUAAAGCUCUGUUGUUAGGGAAGAACAAGUAUCGGAGUAACUGCCGGUACCUUGACGGUACCUAACCAGAAAGCCACGGCUAACUACGUGCCAGCAGCCGCGGUAAUACGUAGGUGGCAAGCGUUGUCCGGAAUUAUUGGGCGUAAAGCGCGCGCAGGCGGUCCUUUAAGUCUGAUGUGAAAGCCCACGGCUCAACCGUGGAGGGUCAUUGGAAACUGGGGGACUUGAGUGCAGAAGAGGAGAGUGGAAUUCCACGUGUAGCGGUGAAAUGCGUAGAGAUGUGGAGGAACACCAGUGGCGAAGGCGACUCUCUGGUCUGUAACUGACGCUGAGGCGCGAAAGCGUGGGGUGCAAACAGGAUUAGAUACCCUGGUAGUCCACGCCGUAAACGAUGAGUGCUAAGUGUUAGAGGGUUUCCGCCCUUUAGUGCUGCAG